AAAUUGAAGAGUUUGAUCAUGGCUCAGAUUGAACGCUGGCGGCAGGCCUAACACAUGCAAGUCGAACGGUAACAGGAAACAGCUUGCUGUUUCGCUGACGAGUGGCGGACGGGUGAGUAAUGUCUGGGAAACUGCCUGAUGGAGGGGGAUAACUACUGGAAACGGUAGCUAAUACCGCAUAACGUCGCAAGACCAAAGAGGGGGACCUUCGGGCCUCUUGCCAUCGGAUGUGCCCAGAUGGGAUUAGCUAGUAGGUGGGGUAACGGCUCACCUAGGCGACGAUCCCUAGCUGGUCUGAGAGGAUGACCAGCCACACUGGAACUGAGACACGGUCCAGACUCCUACGGGAGGCAGCAGUGGGGAAUAUUGCA
rnacentral:rRNA from 1 species